rnacentral:lncRNA from 1 species
AAAGAUAUCUUCUUUUUACUUACUAUAGUAAAUCUAUCUUUGAUUCUUUGUUUUAGCUGUUUUCUUGUAGCUGGUGCGGGUGUUGACUAGCCCUCGUGCUUGGUUGGCUAGAAGUAAUUGAUCAAUCUUGCUGGUGGGGUUUUUUAUUUUGGCUUCAUCCUCUUGCGCCUCAAGUUUGCGUUGGAUGGUGUUCUCUCCAGCUUAGCCAGAAGCAUUUGGGUUGCUUUGUUUGGUUUUUUAACUUUGGUUUAGUUACUUUGUUUGACUGUUUCUUCAUUUUAGUUUGUCAAUUAGUUUUCUCUAGUUUGUAAUUUUUCUUCACUUCUUGCUGCGUGGUGGUGUUGUCUGAGUUAAUUCUUAGCUUGCGAAGUUAGCCAUGAUCUUGUAGAUGUAUAUGUCAGGAGCAAAUAUACAUCUCAGAGGCAUCCUAUAUUGACAAGUUGCACAUGAGGCAUAGUAAUAAUGAAUUCCUUUUUGUGUUUUGCAGAUUUUUUAUCAAAUCUUGGUAGUUCUU